GACGAACGCUGGCGGCGUGCUUAACACAUGCAAGUCGAACGGAAAGGCCCUGCUUUCGUGGGGUGCUCGAGUGGCGAACGGGUGAGUAACACGUGAGUAACCUGCCCUUGACUUUGGGAUAACUUCAGGAAACUGGGGCUAAUACCGGAUAGGAGCUCCUGCUGCAUGGUGGGGGUUGGAAAGUUUCGGCGGUUGGGGAUGGACUCGCGGCUUAUCAGCUUGUUGGUGGGGUAGUGGCUUACCAAGGCUUUGACGGGUAGCCGGCCUGAGAGGGUGACCGGCCACAUUGGGACUGAGGUACGGCCCAGACUCCUACGGGAGGCAGAAGUGGGGAAUAUUGCACAAUGGGCGGAAGCCUGAUGCAGCAACGCCGCGUGCGGGAUGACGGCCUUCGGGUUAUAAACCGCUUUCGCCUGUGACGAAGCGUGAGUGACGGUAAUGGGUAAAGAAGCACCGGCUAACUACGUG
rnacentral:rRNA from 1 species